rnacentral:misc_RNA from 1 species
UCCGGUUUAACACCGGCAGUCUCCUUAGAGUGCCCAACUAAAUGGUGGCAACUAAGGACAAGGGUUGCGCUCGUUAAGGGACUUAACCCGACAUCUCACGAUACGAGCUGACGACAGCCAUGCAGCACCUGUCUCCUUGUGUAUUGCUACAAAGCACUAUCUCUAGUGCGGUCAAGGGAUGUCAAACCCAGGUAAGGUUCUUCGCGUUGCAUCGAAUUAAACCACAUGCUCCACCGCUUGUGCGGGCCCCCGUCAAUUCCUUUGAGUUUUAACCUUGCGGCCGUACUUCCCAGGCGGGGUACUUAAUGCGUUAGCUGCGACACUGCAGGGGUCAAUUCCCGCAACAUCUAGUACCCAUCGUUUACGGCGUGGACUAC